AUGGCAACAGUGAAAGAAUACCUCUGCGAGGUGAAUUCGAAGUUCCAAGGGAGGCAACUCAGCUACGGGCGUGGAAGAUAAAGUCAGACUCGGCACAGGAUCCAGACGAGGAACAGCUUGUAAUGAGUUAUUAUCACUUGUUGUAUCAUUAUUGUUUGUAUAAGAGGUUGAGAGACCUGAGGAAGCGGAAUUAGUUGUAAAUGUAGGAAGGGAUGUAGGCGAAAAUGAGGAAUCAAGCUUCUUGACAGAAGAUUGGGGAAACGAAGGAGCGUGGUUGGCAAUUGGAAAAUUAUUAAAAUUGGAAUAAAUAGAGUAAUCAGAGUUGGGCACUUGAGAAAUCCUAUUUGAAUCAAAUUUUGCGGGAGUUUGAGAAGGAUUGGAAACAAUUGAAAGCGAGUCUGUCGGUAUAUUAAUAGUAUUAGAAGGAACAGAAACUGGUUGAGAGGAAAGAGAAGGAUGCUGCGAAUUAGAGGCGGGCGCCAAAGGCAAAGCACGAGUAACAUCGGAAAUAGGAAGCGAACUAGAAUAAGCAGAAGCAGCAGUGGAAACGGGGGGAUUAUCGGAGGAGACAUAAACCAGAUCGGGAGAGACAGAUUUUGGAGAAGCAGGAUCUAGGACCAAAUUUUUGGAGAGAGAUGCUGACAUCAGCGAAACCUGAGGAUUAUGAGAAAUAUUGUUUGUAGAAUUAAGAAGAGACGAAGAAUUUGAAGAAGGUACUAUAGUUGGAUGGGAAAGAGGCUGGUUUGUAGCAGAAGCCAUAAUCCCAUAAGAAGGAGGGCUGUUAACAGAAUCGUGCGUAUUAAUGUGAUUUGGUUGAGAAUAUUGCCGAGAAAGAUUAUCUAUUGAAUUUGCAGCGACAUUCUUGUGUUGGUGUUGAUACUGAUGAUUGAGAUGUAACUGUUGCUGAUGAUGAAUCUCUUCAUGGCGUGAGUGAGAACGCUUUGUUGAAUUUGAUUUGUAUAUACAAGGAAUAUUAUGUUUUAAGCAUUGAUCACACGAAGGACGCUCUCCCGAACACUUAACUUUCUUCUUUCGACAAGAUU